GGCUACCGCUAUUGGAGUUCGAUUAAGCCAUGCGAGUCGAGAGUCUUAGGGACUCGGCGCACCGCUCAGUAACACGUGGGUAACCUGCCCUAUGCUGGGGAAUAACCUCGGGAAACUGAGAAUAAUGCCCCAUAGCCCACUACGCCUGGAACGGUGAGUGGGUCAAAGCUCCGGCGGCAUAGGAUGGGCCUGCGCCGUAUCAGGUUGUAGGGGGUGUAAAGUACCCUCUAGCCAUCAACGCGUACGGGUGUUGGGAGACAUUGCCCGGAGAUGGAUUCUGAGACACGAAUCCAGACCCUACGGGGUGCAGCAGGCGCGAAAACUUGGCAAUGCGAGCAAUCGUGACCAGGGAACUCCAAGUGCGUAGGGUAAGACCUACGCUUUUCUUGACUCUUCAAAGGUCUUGGAAUAAGGGGUGGGUAAGGACGGUGCCAGCCGCCGCGGUAAUACCGGCGCCUCAAGUGGUAGUCGCUUUUAUUGGGCCUAAAACGUCCGUAGCCGGUCUGGUGCAUUCGUGGGUAAAUCAACCCGCUCAACGGGUUGAAUUCUGCGAGCACGGCCAGACUUGGGACCGGGAGAGGUGUGGGGUACUCUCAGGGUAGGGGUAAAAUCCUGUCAUCCUGAGAGGACCACCUGUUGCGAAGGCGCCACACUAGAACGGAUCCGACGGUCAGGGACGAAACCUAGGGGCACGAACCGGAUUAGAUACCCGGGUAGUCCUAGGUGUAAACGCUGUGGACUCGAUGUUGGGGGCGCUCCGAGCGCUUUCAGUGUCGAAGCGAAGGUGAUAAGUCCACUGCCUGGGGAGUACGGUCGCAAGGCUGAAGCUUAAAGGAAUUGGCGGGGGAGCACUGCAACCUGAGGAUUGUGCGGUUU
rnacentral:rRNA from 1 species